UUCACUGUUCUGUGUACUGAAUGUGCACUCUGUGCUAGUACAAUGUAAAAUGUUUUUCAUAUUGGCAACUCUUAAACAUAAAGUAGUUCACAAGACUGUAGGAUACUGCAUGCAUGUGUCUAAACAAUAGCCCUCUCUAACUCCUAUGCAUCUUACAAGGCCCUGAGGAACUGAACAUUUGGCUCAGCUUAUUCUGAUUUUCUGUCCCCUUUUCACUAUGUUAGCCUCUUUGAAAUGCAGCCUUCCUUAGCUGUACACUUUAUGAACUUGAUCAAAAAUCUCUGCAAAGGGUGCACCGUGUAUGACAUUCAAAGGGUCAUAAAUUAGGCAAAUCAAAACCAAUUUCACUGUUCCAAUCCAGGGUGCUUGCAGUGAAGACUCUCUCUGCCAAAUUUCAGCUUAAGAAAUGUUCCAGGGAAGAAAAGGGUUGCAAGAAUCUUUAAUAAUAUGUUUUUUUUUCAUUUCCUUUUACUAAACCUGAAAAUAUUCCAAAAGGUGAAAGUUUCCUAAAGUUAUGAGCAACAGAUCACAAGGGGUUAAAACUGAAACUCUUAUGCAAUUUCAGCACUCCAGCUAUAGCAUUGGCGGCUGCUGCUGCUUUUUUUUUUUUUUUUUUUUCCUUUUUUGCACCUUCUGUUUGAGGAUCUUAAGUAAUUUUAUAACAUGUUCAUUGAGUCUUACCCAGCUCACAGGAUGUUGUAUUAUCCAUCUCCUACAGACAAGGAAACGAAAUCAGGUAUUUUGUCCAGUUAUGAAUCAGGGACAGUGCUGGAAUACAAACUAGGACUUGAGCUUGCAUUUCCCUGCUCUUACCACUUGACUAAAUUUCCUCUUUUUAAAGACAGCUCGACUAGAAAGUCCUUUGCAGAAUUCAUUAUGAAACCAUUUAAUUAGUUAUGUUAAUUGAGAUGUAUUAUAGAAUCACUUGCAACUGGUGAAGGAAAACCCCCAGAGGACACCGGAGACUUUAAUUCCUCCAGUUGGUUGAGUUUGCUGCCUGUCAAGAGCAAGAUCAACCCAUCAGGAAUGUGUGUGCUGGGACCCAGUUAACAGUGUCACCUGAAACUGAGAACAUUGCACUGUUGUAGCCGGCAUCGCAAGAUAUUUACGUGCUAGAUGUGCUAAAGAUUCAUAUGUCCCUUCAUGCUUCGGCCACCAUUCAAGGGGAUGUGUCCAUGUUGAUGAUGGGUUCUGCUCAAUAACAAUCCAAAGCAGUGUAGACUGAAGCAUGUUCAUUUUCAUCAUCUGAGUCAGAUGCCACCAGCAGAAGGUUGAUUUUCUCUUUUUGGUGGUUUGGGUUCUGAAGUUUCUGCAUUGGAAUGUUGCUCUUUUUAAGGUUUCUGAAACCAUGCUCCACACCUUGUCCCUCUCAGAUUUUGGAAGGCACUUCAGAUUCAUAAACCUUGGGUCGAGUGCUAUAGCUAUCUUUAGAAAUCUCACGUUGGUGUCUUUUUUUUUUUUUUUUGCAUUUUGUCAAAUCUGCAGUGAAAGUGUUCUGUAGUGAGGCGGUGUGGCUUCCAGCUGAGCCAGAAAGGGAGGAACUACUGUCUGUACACAAGUGGGUGGAGCAAGGCCUGCCUCCCUCCCAUUGGAAUUGGGUAACAGGGAAAGGAAGUAUAAAGGGUGGGGCCUCCAGCUCAGUUGAAGCUGAGACACGGAGGGAAGCAGACGAAUCCUGCUUGCUCCUGGCUGCUGACUCUGCUGCCGAACCCAGUGGAGCCCUGCCUGCGAGAGAACUUGCAUCUGCCACGGACCUGCUGGGACUGCCAUUGGCCACCUCCCCAGAAGAGACUGAGGAUGCCCUGCUGAUCCAGGUAUACCCUGAGGGGAGGAAGAGGCCCAGGGACAGCCAACCUCAAUUGGGCUGUAGCUCUGUCUGAGGCACGGUCACCAUGUUGCAGCUGGAAUCUCCGCUGACCCAGUGGCGGACCACUCUACCACUGUUAAGUCCUGGGGUCGAGAUCUGGUGAAGUAGGGUGGGUGGGACCGGACCCCACCUGCCACCUCACCCCUGGGGUGGCAGCCUCCCCUCACCAGGUCCAGAGGCCUUUGUUUGUCGGUUGUCUGCCGGAGCUAGGACGUUUGAUCCCUGGGGCUUUUGCUCUGGCUCUGUAUCAAAAGCCCAGAGCUAAUUGACUACUGGGUUUGCUCUGUCCCUGACUAAGAACCCAGAGCUUUAUUGACUCCUGGAUGUUCGCUCUGUCUCUGCAUCCAGAGCUCAGAGCUAAUUGACUGCUGGUUUGCUGUGCCCCUGCUUAAGGUGCCCAGAACCCAUAUACUACUGGGUUUUCUUGGCCCCUGUUUAAAGGGCUCAGAGACUAAAGACUGUUGGCUGCUCUGCCCUGGGCUAAGGGCCAGAGCAUAUGGAUUCCUGGGUGGCCCUGUCUAUACCUAAGGGCUGGAGCGCGUUGACUGUUGGGGAUUUAGCCCUGUCUGGGAUGCUAACACCUAUUUGCUAGUUUCCCACAGAUACUAGGUGGCGAUCCCGAUGGCAUAGUGAGGCAGCAUGGCCUCCCUUUGACCCAGAGCAGGAGGGACGACCACUACUGUUCUUAAAACGAACCACAUGCUGGGUCAUCAUCUGAGACUGCUAUAACAUGAAAUGAAUGCAGGUAAAACACAGAACAGGAGACAUACGAUUCUCCCCCAAUUAGUUCAAUCACAAAUUUCAUUAAUGUAUUUGUUUUUUAAACAAGCAUCAUGAGCAUGGAAGCAUGUCCUCUGGAAUGGUGGCCAAAGCAUGAAGGGGCAUACGAAUGUUUAGCACAUCCGGCACGUAAAUACUUCGCGACACCGGCUACAAAAGUGCCAUGUGAACACCUGGUCUCACUUUCAGGUGACAUUGUAAAUAAGAAGCUGGCAACAUUGUUUUACAUUUACAGGAGAGAAACUUGUUGGUCUUAGCGAUUGGCUGAACUAGAAGUAGGACUGAGUGGAUUUGUAGGCUCUAGAUGUUUACAUUUUGGUUUUGAGUGCAGUUAUGAAACAAAAAAUCUACAUUUGUAAGUUGCACUUUCACGAUAGAGAUCGCACUACUGUACUUGUAUGAGGUGAAUUGAAAAAUGAUUUUUUUAUCAUUUUUAUAGUGCAAAUAUUUGUAAUCGGAAAUAAUAUAAAGUGAACACUAUACACUUUGUAUUCUGUGUUGUAACUGAAAUCAAUAUAUUUGAAAAUGUAGCAAAACAUCCAAAAUAUUUAAUACAUUUCAGUUGGUAUUCUAUUUGUUUAACAAUGCAAUUAAAACUGCGAUUAAUCCCAAAUAAUUUUUUUGAGUUAAAUUGUGUGAGUAACUGUAAUUUAAUCACAGCCCUAAAAAUCAGCUUAUUUACAAAAGUAUUUUUUUAAACCUUAAACCAGCAAGUCACUUUCCAUCUCUACCCCAGUUUCCCACAUGUAAAAUAGAGGUAAUGAUACUUGGGCUCAUUUCUAAAGUGCCUUCAGCUCUACUGAUGAAAACACUGUAUAAAAGUGGGAGUAGUAGUGUUGGUUUUACAACAGCAUGGGAGUUUUGACAUUGGAUUCCAUUUGAUAACAUACAUCCUCUUUCAAUAGAUGAUGGCUGCCAGCAGCAAUACGGCUGAGAUUUGUUCCAAAGGGACUCCAGUUUUGGUGCAUUUUUUCUUAGUGCUAUACUCUUGGUCAUGUGCAGCCCAUACGUGCCAUGUUGGGUGUUCAUUAUACAGGUGCUGAUUCAGCAAAUCACAGGCUUGACUUCAGGCAUGUGAUUAACCUCAUCCGUAUUCAGCAAAACACUUAAGCAUGUGUCAAGUGAGUCCAGCACAAUGUUGAAUCUGAUUGCAUUGCAUUUUGCUUAGCAAAUUCUUUAAUACUGUUGUUGUCAGAGCCACUAGAGUGCAACAGAGAACUAAUGGAGCAUGCUAGAGGUGAUAGGCUACUAAUAUUAAAGAUUUAACACCUAUUCCCUUCAGAGUAAAUUGCAUUAACGGUUUAGUGGGUGGCACUUUGUUCAGAGGAAGGAGACCAGACAGUCUGAAUAUAGUCGAUCCGCUGGGAAUGUGGAACAGACGUACAGCAUUUCUAAUGUCCCGCUUCUGCUUCAGUAUCCUAAACCAAUUCUGUCUUUCAACCCAGAGGUGUGUUGGUACAGUUGCAGCAACCAGUGGGUAAUGAAUAGGGUAGGGUAAGGAAUAAGAAUACACGGUCCAUAAUAGCAAAGAACAAAUAUGCCUUUUUCCUUCUGGAUAAAUCAGCUGAAGCCAGGUAAUACUGACUGCUAGCAAUGAGGGACAAAGGGGAGAGCUGAUGCUCACAAAUGGAGAUGCGGUCUAUUAGGGGAUAGGGUCAAACUUCAGAUUGGUUUUACUUGUGACUAUUACGGUUUCUAAGGGGCACAUCUUUUCUACAGCAUGGAGUAUCCUGCUGGCAGUGGAUUCAGUGUUCCAUUGUUGCAGGGGUGGAGGUGUUUUGAAAUGAAUUCCUAGUGUCUUUUCAUGGGAUGAUAUGUACCAUGGAGUACUGCUCUGUGCAGGAUUCUGUGAGACCAGAGGAGAGUCAGGCCAGGGAUGGGGUCUGGAUCUGCAAUUACAUGGAUCUACUGGUUAUUUCCUCAUCGAACAGGGAUAUUCAUCAGAUGCUACAAAUCUAGAUGUAUGGUAAGUAAUGUUAGUUUUUCAUUCUCAUGUUUCCGAAGAGCAAAUUGGACUCAAAUUGCAGUGUAGUUUUGUGUUUUGUUCGUAUAUUUUCCCCAUUACUGUUUUUAGGCAUUCUUGAACCAUCUCAUCCAAAUUGUUCUGUUCAUCUCCAUGUCAAUACAUUCGCCAUUUGAAAUCAGGCUAGAUCAGUUAAAUUGUAUCUUGGAUAAGCUUUGAAUUUGUAUUGAAAAACAUCUAAAAUAUUUUACAAUUAGAAUUUGCAUGUUUUCAUUUGAAUAAUGUAACAUCAUUCUGGGAGAAACACUGAGAUGCAGAGGCAGAAAUGUGAUUGGUAAUAUCACAAACAAUUUAAGCAGGCUUCCAAAAUUGGUAUAGUUUUCAUCUGCUUUAUGCUGCACUAAAUUACUUCCUAAAAUAUAUGGCCUGACAUUUGUAAGCCACUCGGGUGUGGGUGUGGGUGUGGAUGUGGGUGUGUUUACUAAAACAAAUGUUUACAUUUUAUUAGUGUUUUGCUCUGCAGUACAUUCAACGAGAACAAUUCAGUAACAGGGAAGCAGCUGCAGUGAAUCUCUGCUUACACCAGGCUUAACUUUGGUCCAGUAGCUCUUUAUUUAAAAUAGCCUGAAGUGGAUGGUUUAAUUUGUGUUAAUGAAUUUGAUAUAUUUUGUCUUAAUUUCUCUAGUUUUGUGUAACAAUUGAGCUUUGUUCCACAUUAAUUUAGGAAACCAUGAUGUUCCAAUGCUAUGUUGUAGCCGUAAACUGACAGGAUGUGCUGUUUGGUUGAAUGCCUUCUGCUGCCCAACAAGUCCACCAAAUAGCAGACUGUUUUUCACUCUAGAGUGGCUAAUUGCUAUUAGAACAUGACUCACAAUAUUUAUAUUUAAACAGUUUUACUUUUUGGUGGGUGAGAGGGUUUAUGCAAUAUAUCCUUCCACCUUGAAAACUAAUUCCUAGUGGAAGGAUAAAUGAAAGGUGUAGAGGAAGUUGUAUGCAUCUUCCAUUUAGUAUUUUGAACGUUGUUACAUUCAUUUAAAAUUUUUUCUUUUUUAACUUUUUAGAUUGCCUGAAUUUCUAUUAUCUAAGAACCUAACCAUAGUUUGUGGCCCACAGUCCUUGCUUUAUCAGAAAAAUUUAAGCUCCCAUUUACUAAUAUUAGAAAUAAUUCUGUUUGCAAAUGUAGAAAAUUAAUUUUCUUGUACACAGAAGCAUCUUCAGCAUCUAGCUAAUCUUUUAAAAGAGUUCACACUGUUAGUUCUUUAUUUGUGUAGGGUUCAGCCUUAAACAACUUUCUGUGACAGGAAUCUGAGGAACUGUUUCUGCUAUUGUCGAUUAUUUUUGCUUAAUUCCCUUCAUUGGAAUGGUGAUGACUGGGAACCUCAGAGUGCACUUAUAAUGUAUCACUGGGGAACUCACUCUCUACCAGUAAUACUGCAGUACUAGUGCAAGUGACUGAUGCCAUGCAGGAGUAGAUAGAAGGAGGGAAAAGGCAAAAUAGAGUGAAAACCCCACCACCCUCCUCAGCUAAAUACAGAGUUCAGCGACUGAGGAAGGCUUAGCUUCCUUACUGUGUGUUUGAUUAGGAUUGUGAGAGGGAAAGCAGACAUUAGGAAUGACUACU